rfam:Oryza brachyantha chromosome 3, whole genome shotgun sequence.
CCACUAGAUGAUAAGGACUUGAUGUCUUAUAUCCUUGCUGGUCUGGAUGAUGAUUACGAACCAGUGGUCUCAUCACUAGUUGGGCGAACAGAAACAAUUACAUUCUCUGAAUUUUAUUCUCAACUAAUGAGUUUUGAAU